rnacentral:rRNA from 1 species
UACAGAGGUCCCGAGCGUUGUUCGGAUUUAUUGGGCGUAAAGGGUGCGUAGGUGGCAAAGUAAGUUGGAUGUGAAAUCCUGGGGCUCAACCUCAGAAUUGCAUUCAAUACUGCUUAGCUAGAGAGCUGUAGAGGAGACUGGAAUUUACGGUGUAGCAGUGAAAUGCGUAGAUAUCGUAAGGAACGCCAGUGGCGAAAGCGAGUCUCUGGGCAGCAUCUGACACUGAGGCACGAAGGUCAGGGGAGCAAACGGG